UAGAUGUUGCUUUGUACAUGC
ensembl:piRNA 21ur-5377 ncRNA